UACGGGGGGUGCGAGCGUUGUCCGGAAUCACUGGGCGUAAAGAGCGUGUAGGCGGCUCGGUAAGUCCGCUGUGAAAGUCCAGGGCUCAACCCUGGAAUGCCGGUGGAAACUGUCGAGCUAGAGUCCGGAAGAGGCGAGUGGAAUUCCUGGUGUAGCGGUGAAAUGCGCAGAUAUCAGGAGGAACACCAAUGGCGAAGGCAGCUCGCUGGGACGGUACUGACGCUGAGACGCGAAAGCGUGGGGAGCAAACAGG
rnacentral:rRNA from 1 species